UACAGAGGUCUCAAGCGUUGUUCGGAUUCAUUGGGCGUAAAGGGUGUGUAGGUGGCGCGCUAAGUCGGGUGUGAAAUUUCGGAGCUUAACUCCGAAACUGCAUUCGAUACUGGCGUGCUUGAGGACUGGAGAGGAGACUGGAAUUCCUGGUGUAGCAGUGAAAUGCGUAGAUAUCAGGAGGAACACCUGCGGUGUAGACGGCUUACUGGACCAUAACUGACGCUGAGGCACGAAAGCGUGGGUAGCAAACAGG
rnacentral:rRNA from 1 species